rnacentral:rRNA from 1 species
UGCCACCGUUUCUAACAUGCAGUCGACGAUGAACCCAUUCCGGGUGGAUUUUUGGCGAACGGGUGAGUAACACGUGGGCAAUCUGCCCUUCGCUCUGGGACACGCCCUGUGAACGGGGUCUAAUACCGGAUAUCUCUCUCUUCCGCAUGGGGGAGGGUUGAAAGCUCCCGCGGUGAACGAUAAGCCCCCGGCCUAUCACCUUGUUGGUGGGGUGAUGGCCUACCAAGGCGACAACAGGGAGCCGGCCUGAGAGGGCGACCGGCCCCACUGGGACUGAGACACGGCCCCCACUCCUCCGGGAGGCGCCAGUGGGGAAUAUUGCACAAUGGGCGAAAGCCUGAUGCGCCGACACCCCGUGAGGGAUGACGGCCUUCUGGUUGUAAACCUCUUUCUCCAGGGAAAAAACGAAAAUGACGGUACCUGCGCAAAAAACGCCGGCUAACUACAUGCCACCACCCGCGGUAAUACGUAUGGGGCAAGCGUUGUCCGGAAUUAUUGGGCGUAAAGAGCUCUUAUGCGGCUUGUCUCGUCUGAUGUGAAAACCCGGGGCUUAUCCCCGGGUCUGCAUUCUAUACGGGCAGGCUAUAGUGUGGUAUGGGAGAUCUCAAUUCUCGUUGUAUCGCUGAGAUGCGCACAUAUCUCGAGGAACACAGGUGGCGAAGGCGGAUCUCUGUGCCCCUACUGACACUGAGGAGCGAAAACGUGUGGAGCGAAAACGAGAAUAUACCCUGUGAGUCUACGCCGCAAACGUUGUGAACUAUGUGUGGGCGACAUUCUACGUCUCCUGUGCGGCAGCUAACACAUUUUAUGCGCCCCCCUGGGGGAGUACGGCCCCACGACGAUAACUCUAAAAAGAUGACAGGGGCGCCCACAAACAGCGCAGAAUGUGGCUUAUUUCUCCGCAACGCGAAAAAACCUACAAAGCGUGACAUAUACCGGAAAAGCCAUAGAGAUCUGCCCCCUUGUGGGCGGUAUGAACGGGUGGCGUAGGCGGUCCUCACCUCUCGUCUCGAGAAUAUGUGGUUAAAUCCCCCACACAAGCCACACCCUUGUGUCUCUGUGUCCCCAAUGCCCUUCUGUGGGACGGGGGACUCACAGGAAGACUGCCUGGGUCACACUCGGAGAAGGUGGGACGACCUCAGUCAUCUGGGCCUUAGUCUUGCUGCACUGCUCACAUGCGGGUUACAAAAGCUCGAAUCGGAGUGAGCGAAUUCAAGCGUCAAUCGAUGGGUGCACUGACCGUAGAGUCUGCAGAUCCUGAUAUUCAUG